GCUGGUGAAAGGGCCUCUGGUAAC
rnacentral:siRNA from 1 species